rnacentral:lncRNA from 1 species
ACGAUACACCACUACCACAGUUGUGUGCGUUUCCAGGGAGGGAGAUUUGAAGCUAUUUAAAGCCAUUGGGGAUGAUGAACAACAGCAGAUUAGGUUUCGCAUUCUACAUUAUUUUUUACUCUUUUCUUUCGAUUGAUUGAUGUCUUAAGUUAGAAUUUGCCGCCCAUGACCGACUAAAACACUUAUCAACAUCAUCAGGUCAUCGUCACGAUUCACCAUCCCGUCUCGUCCCCACCCCGCACUACUGCAUGCGUGGCUGUCGCGAGAGCCAGCCAAUCCCUCACAUGGUCCACCACAGUGCCUGCGAGGGUGAUCGGACAGUGGCAAGCAUUUGUACGAGUGAGUGAAGGUGUGCAUGGAAAGACAACGUGGUUUACUGGUAAGGCUCUUCCAUUAUUGGCACUAAGGGGAGCAGGUGAGAGGCACACAAGAGAAGAUGCGUGUAGGAGCCUGAGACAAGCACUAGCGUACGCCUCGGGCUUUGGCGGACUCGACCACAAAGAAAGUGAUGAGUGAUUCACUCGGUGGAGAGGAACUCGCUUUGACAUGACUGAUUGAAACAAAGCUCUGAAUCCAAGCAAGCAC